UACGUAGGGCGCAAGCGUUAUCCGGAAUUAUUGGGCGUAAAGAGCGUGUAGGCGGCCAGACAGGUCCGUUGUGAAAACUCGAGGCUCAACCUCGAGAUGUCGAUGGAAACCGUCUGGCUAGAGUCCGGAAGAGGAGUGUGGAAUUCCUGGUGUAGCGGUGAAAUGCGCAGAUAUCAGGAAGAACACCGGUGGCGAAGGCGGCUCUCUGGACGGUGACUGACGCUGAGACGCGAAAGCGUGGGGAGCAAACAGG
rnacentral:rRNA from 1 species